rnacentral:rRNA from 1 species
CCUACGGGUGGCAGCAGUGAGGAAUAUUGGUCAAUGGCCGGAAGGCUGAACCAGCCAAGCCGCGUGAAGGACGAAGGUGCCAAGCAUUGUAAACUUCUUUUGUCAAGGGACAAAAUCAGGCGCGAGAGCCUGACCGAGGGUACUUGAAGAAAAAGCAUCGGCUAACCCCGUGCCAGCAGCCGCGGUAAUACGGAGGAUGCGAGCGUUAUCCGGAUUUAGUGGGUGUAAAGGGUGCGUAGGCGGACUGUUAAGUCAGCGGUAAAAGCCCGGGGCUCAACCCCGGCGAGCCGUUGAAACUGGCUUUCUUGAGCUGUCGAGAGGUAUGCGGAAUGCGCAGUGUAGCGGUGAAAUGCUUAGCUAUUGCGCAGAACUCCGAUUGCGAAGGCAGCAUACCGGCGGCGAUCUGACGCUGAGGCACGAACGCGUGGGUAUCGAACAGGAUUAGAUACCCCGGUAGUC